AUUGAACGCUGGCGGCAGGCCUAACACAUGCAAGUCGAGCGGAUGAAGGGAGCUUGCUCCUGGAUUCAGCGGCGGACGGGUGGGUAAUGCCUAGGAAUCUGCCUGGUAGUGGGGGAUAACGUCCGGAAACGGGCGCUAAUACCGCAUACGUCCUGAGGGAGAAAGUGGGGGAUCUUCGGACCUCACGCUAUCAGAUGAGCCUAGGUCGGAUUAGCUAGUUGGUGGGGUAAAGGCCUACCAAGGCGACGAUCCGUAACUGGUCUGAGAGGAAGAUCAGUCACACUGGAACUGAGACACGGUCCAGACUCCUACGGGAGGCAGCAGUGGGGAAUAUUGGACAAUGGGCGAAAGCCUGAUCCAGCCAUGCCGCGUGUGAGAAGAAGGUCUUCGGAUUGUAAAGCACUUUAAGUUGGGAGGAAGGGCAGUAAGUUAAUACCUUGCUGUUUUGACGUUACCAACAGAAUAAGCACCGGCUAACUUCGUG
rnacentral:rRNA from 1 species